rnacentral:rRNA from 1 species
UAAAUAUUAGUUAUAUAUUUUAAUUAUUCUCGAACUUAGAAGAGCUAAUUAAUUAUUUAUUUUAUUGUGGAAAAAAUAUUUAUAAUAGUUAAUUGGUAAUGAAACGUUAUUCGUUUCUAAAUAUAUCUAGUUUUUUAAGAAAUAGAUUUAAUCUACUUGGUUUAAUUUAAGUGUAUUUAGUUUUUAGUACCUUAUUUUAGCUAGGGAAUAUCUUAAGGGAUGAGCUUUAAGAUAAAUUUUUAUAAUUUAAUUAUUUUAUUUAUUUAUUAAUAAUAGGAUUAGAAUUUUUCAUUUUUAAGAGGAUGUUAUAGUCAAUUUUGUUUAUUUUAAUAUUUAUAUUUAAUUUAAAUUUUUUAUUAAAAUGUAAUUUUUAAUUUUUAAUGGUUAGUAAUAAUGAUAGAAUUAGUAUAUAAAUUUGUAUACAUAUAUAUAUAUAUUUAGGUUAGCAAAAGGAAUUCGGCAAAAGAUUUUUUACCUGUUUAUUAAAAACAUGGCCUUUUGAUUAUUAUUUAAGGUCUGACCUGCCCACUGAGGUUUUAAAUGGCCGCGGUAUCCU